AUGUCUUCGUUUUGGGGCGCGGAGGUGAAGCCCGAGAAGCCCUACACGCACACCCACAGCCCGCGCCGCGGCCGCCUGCGCCUCACCCAGGCGACUCUGGGGGCCGAGGUUGGCAAGGUGGAGAAGGGGAAGACGGACUUGGUGCAGCUGCAGUGCACUGUUAAGAACAAGGAGCCUGUGUAUCUCUGCGCCCUGAUACCGGGGCAGUCGGUGACUUGCCACUUGGACCUUGAGUUCGAGGAGAAGUUCGUGACGUUCUCGGUGCUUGGGUUAAGGAGCGUCCACUUGGCUGGCUACUAUGUUGGUGAUGUGUACGAGGACAUCGGUGAUAGUGAUACUGGUAGUGAGUCACUUCAAGGCUCCGAUGAUGAUUUCAUGGCAUCUGAUGACGAUGAUGUGGUCAUUCCAGUAUCCCAUGGCCAGAUGAACACAGACAGCGAAGAUGAUUCAGACUAUGACGAGGACUAUGAUUCAGAGGAUGAUGAGGAUUUGAUCUACAACCAGGGUAGAGGCAAGAGUUCAGUUGUCAUUGAGGAGAUUCAAGAUGAUGAGAAGCCUGUUGAUGAUAAUUCUCGACUUCAGCUUGCUGUUAGGACCCCACCUGCUGAAUCCGUGGAAAGUGAAGAUGAAGAUGGCUUUCCUGUUUCUGAAUCAAAGAAGAGUUCUAAAGGUAGUUCCAAGAAGGCUAAGAAUCUAAAUAAUGGGACUAGUACUGAAGACAGGAAAAGGAAAAGUGAUGCUAUUAAUGAUCCUCACAAGUCGUUAGGGGAGGUUAAUGCUGAAAAUGAUGUGGUUUCAAAGAAAAAGAAAAAGGACAAGAAGGAGGUGAAGCUAGCUUCCUCAGCUGACACUGUUGCAGCCAAACAGAAGAAAAAGAAAAGCAAGAAGCAAAGUACUUCUGAAGGUGACACUGAUAAGCAAGCUGAUAAAAGAACCAUAACAGACAAUGAUGAGGAGCCUAGCAAACAGGGGGCCAAGAAAAAGAAGAACAAGAAGAAAACAAAGGAGAACAAUGGAAGUGAGAACCAGGCAGCGACUGAUGUUAUGAAUUCAGCUAGCAAGGAGCAGACAUCACCCAAAGCACGGACUUAUGGCAAUGGUUUGAUUGUUCAGACGGUGGCGUUGGGCAAACCAGAUGGUAAAAAAGCUACCCCUGGGAAAAAGGUUUUUGUCACGUACACUGGCAAGUUGAAGAAUGGCAAGAUUUUUGACUCUAAUGUUGGUCGGAAGCCUUUUGCGUUUAGGCUGGGUAUUGGACAGGUUAUUAAAGGCUGGGACAUUGGUGUCAACGGUAUGCGCAUUGGGGACAAAAGAAAGCUUACCAUUCCACCAUCUAUGGGCUAUGGAAACCAGAAGGCCGGGGAGAUACCGCCGAACUCAACUCUUCUGUUUGAUGUGGAGCUAAUGAACGUACAUUGA
rnacentral:rRNA from 1 species